rnacentral:rRNA from 1 species
UAGCUUAUUGUUUUUUAUAAUAGGUUUUUUCUGCCCGGUGUUUAAAUAAACGGCCGCGGUACUCUGACCGUGCAAAGGUAGCAUAAUCAUUUGUUCUUUAAUUGGGGACUUGUAUGAAAGAAAGUUUGAGGCUUUUUCUGUCUCUUUUUUAAUUUAGAAUUUGCUGUUUAUGUGAAGAAGCAUAAGUUUAUAAAAAAGACAAGAAGACCCUUUUAAGCUUUAUUUUUUUUUUCUGCAUUUUUUCUUUUAAGUAAUUGAUUGUGGUUAAAAGAAUUUAGUUGGGGUGACUAAAGAAGACAAAAUCUUCUUGGUUUAAAAAAACUUUGUGUUUAAAAAAGACCCAAAAUUGUUUUGGUUGAAAGAAUUAGUUACUAAAGGGAUAACAGCGUAAUCUUUUCAAAGAGUUCUUAUUGAAGAAAAGGAUUGCGACCUCGAUGUUGACUUACUUUUUCCUUUUAAGGUGCAGAAGCUAAAAGGGUUGGUCUGUUCGACCAUUAAAAUAGU